CGGGAUUUAGCUCAGCCUGGGAGUGUACCUCGCUGGGAGUGAGGUGAUCGUCGGUUUAAAUCCGGCGAUCCCUGCCA
rnacentral:tRNA from 1 species